rnacentral:rRNA from 1 species
UACGGAGGGUGCAAGCGUUAUCCGGAUUCACUGGGUUUAAAGGGAGCGUAGGUGGGUUGGUAAGUCAGUGGUGAAAUCCCCGAGCUUAACUUGGGAACUGCCAUUGAUACUAUCAGUCUUGAAUACUGUGGAGGUUAGCGGAAUAUGUCAUGUAGCGGUGAAAUGCUUAGAUAUGACAUAGAACACCAAUUGCGAAGGCAGCUGGCUACACAAUUAUUGACACUGAGGCUCGAAAGCGUGGGGGAUCAAACAGG